rfam:Triticum aestivum genome assembly, contig: Triticum_aestivum_CS42_TGACv1_scaffold_320452_4BL
UUGGUACUCUCUCCGCCCGAAAAUACUUGUCAUCAAAAUGGAUAAAAAGGGAUGUAUCUAGAACUAAUAUACGUCUAGAUACAUCCCCUUUUAUUCAUUUUGAUGACAAGUAUGUUCGGACGGAGGGAGUACUAA